CACACACUAAGGAUGGGAGGCCAACUGCCGCCCACUCCCGUUAUGCCGGGUAAUAUAAUUCCCUUAAAGUCUCCUUGGAGAAAAGUUAUGACCAACGUAGACCGCAUUUGAAAAGCAGAGACAUUACUUUGCCAACAAAGGUCUGUCUAGUCAAGGCUAUGGUUUUUCCAGUGGUCAUGUAUGGAUGUGAGAGUUGGACUAUAAAGAAAGCCGAGUGCCAAAGAAUUGAUGCUUUUGAACUGUGGUGUUGGAGAAGACUCUUGAGAGUCCCUUGGUCUGCAAGGAGAUACAACCAGUCCAUCCUAAAGAAAAUCAGUCCUGAAUAUUCAUUAGAAGGACUGAUACUGAAGCUGAAAUCCCAAUACUUUGAACACCUGAUGUGAAGAACUGACUCACUGAAAAAGACCCUGAUGCUGGGAAGAUUGAAGGUGGAUUCUUAACCACUGGACCACCAGGAAAGUCCUGGCCUGCUUGUCUCUGGGUGUGAAGCUUUCUGCUCUCUGACACGUGGCAAAUUCCAGUGAUCACCACCAUGACCAGGAAGAGGCCACGUCCAUCACCUUGAAAAUACCCAGGUGCUGCCACUUUCUGGUUUCUCCUUCCACACUUGAAUUCCUGACAAAACGAUCUGUCUGCCUUCACUACAUUUUGUCCUUUGCAAUUUUAAAAGUCCUUAUGUAUUCUGAAUAUAAGACUUUUUCACACCUGUGAUUCACAAACAUCUUUCCCCUAAUAACUAAUAGCUUCCCUUUUCAUUACAGGAGACAUGAGUGAUGAAAUCUACUUUUCUUCCCUACCCUCAGAGCUCAAUAUUGUGUACCUAGCAAGCGCCCAUGAGAUUCUUCAGAAGUGAAAAUAAAUUCUGCUGUCUGUCUCUCAGGUAGUCCCCAGAGCUGUAUUUCUCAUCUCUGAUCCCCUACCUGAAUGGGAAAUAUAAUAGAACUGUCUAAGGACAGGUGCUGUAUCUUUUGCUGCAUUUUUCCUCACACUAGUAUUUCCAUUAUCAACCAAGAAAUGACCAGCAGUCUGUUCUCAAUAUAAAUCUGGUCAAAU
ensembl:lncRNA